UACGUAGGGUGCAAGCGUUGCCCGGGUUUAUUGGGCGUAAAGGGCGCGUAGGCGGCUCGGCACGUCCGUUGUGAAAUCGCCCGGCUCAACUGGGCGGGGUCAGCGGAUACGGCCGAGCUUGAGCAAGCUAGGGGGCAAUGGAAUUCCCGGUGUAGUGGUGGAAUGCGUAGAUAUCGGGAGGAACACCAGUGGCGAAGGCGGUUGCCUGGGGCUUUGCUGACGCUGAUGCGCGAAAGCGUGGGGAGCGAUCCGG
rnacentral:rRNA from 1 species